rnacentral:rRNA from 1 species
AUUGAACGCUGGCGGCAGGCCUAACACAUGCAAGUCGAGCGAGCGGCGGACGGGUGAGUAAUGUCUGGGAAACUGCCUGAUGGAGGGGGAUAACUACUGGAAACGGUAGCUAAUACCGCAUACCAUCAGAUGUGCCCAGAUGGGAUUAGCUAGUGGGUGGGGUAACGGCUCACCUGGGCGACGAUCCCUAGCUGGUCUGAGAGGAUGACCAGCCACACGGGAACUGAGAAACGGGCCAGCCUCGUACGGGAGGCAGCGGGGGGGAAUAUUGCACAAGGGGCGCAAGCCUGAUGCAGCCAAGCCGGGUGUGUGAAGAAGGCCUUCGGGUUGUAAAGCACUUUCAGCGGGGAGGCGUUACCCGAAGAAGAAGCACCGGCUAACUCCGUGCCAGCAGCCGCGGUAAUU